GGGAAUUGGAGACCAGCCUGCCCAACAUGGUGAAACCCCAUCUCUACUAAAAAUUCAAAAAUUAGCCAGGUGUGGUGCUGCAUGCCUGUAAACCCAGCUACUCAGGAGGCUGAGGCAGGAGAAUCGCUUGAGCCCGUGAGGUGGAGGUUGCAGUGAGCCGAGAUUGCGCCACUGCACUCCAGCCUGGGUGACAGAGUGAGACCCUGUCUCUAAAUAAAUAAUAAAUAAAUAAAAGGAUGUUAUCUCAUUUUGAUAUUAUGAGCAUCACUGACCAAACAUAGGAUAAUAAGGUAACUGUUAGGAGUGAAAUUUGGUGAUAGUCAAUUCAGUUUAACAGAUAUUUGUUGAGUACUUGCCUACUGUGUGUAGAAGAGAAAAAUAAUGCCAUAGUCUUAGCCCUUGGACAGCUCACAAUCUGAUGUGAGACAUAGACAUAAUACCUAAAUAUUACACAAAACCAAAUGCAUUUGGUACAAAUAGUGAAACAGUGGAUCUUGGAAGUGCACAGAGAGAAGCAGCUACUUCUGACAUGGUAUUAGCCACCGCGCCCAGCCAAAACGGAGGUAUUUGAAAGAGGAGAAAGCUUUGCAAUAUGGAGAGUGGUGAGGAGGAGCACUUCAUGAAGAAAAGCGUGAACUGUGGUGAGAAGCCAGAAGGCAUGGUGGGGAUGCCAUGGGGCUGACAGGACUUUGGGUUUUAUUCUGCAAACAGUAAGGAAUCCUUGUAGGUAUACGAGAAGAGGGAUGAUAUCGUCUAAUUUUAGUUCCAGGAAAACAGCUUCAGUGUGCAGAAUAACUUGGAGAGUCUAGCAUCAUGACUCUAGACAUGCAAACAAGGAUCUCAGGAUACGGGGGCCUGAAAGAGGAUGGUGGCAGUGAGGGUAGAAAGGAGGAAUCAGCAUUCAUCCAUCGUUUAACCAGUUAUUCUCUGCGCUUGAUGAGAUGUAUGGGGUGAGAGAGAGGGAAGAGGAGAUGAUGGCUUUAUUUAACCUCUCUGACUUUUUGUCAGGGAACAAAGCAACAGGGGAAAGCUUUUGAAGCACAAUAUAGUUUUUUUGUUUGUUUGUUUGUUUUG
rnacentral:lncRNA from 10 species